rnacentral:rRNA from 1 species
GUUUUCGGCUGGCUGCACGCACCAGGCGCACCCAGAAACCCUUUGUGAACUUAUACCUUACUGUUGCCUCGGCGCAUGCUGUGCCCCCAGCGGGGCCCCCUGGAGACAGGGAGCAGGCACGCCGGCGGCCAAGUUAACUCUUGUUUUUACACUGAAACUCUGAGAAAAAACACAAAUGAAUCAAAACUUUCAACAACGGAUCUCUUGGUUCUGGCAUCGAUGAAGAACGCAGCGAAAUGCGAUAAGUAAUGUGAAUUGCAGAAUUCAGUGAAUCAUCGAAUCUUUGAACGCACAUUGCGCCCUCUGGUAUUCCGGAGGGCAUGCCUGUUCGAGCGUCAUUUCAACCCUCAAGCACUGCUUGGUGUUGGGGCACUGCUUUUACCCAAAAGCAGGCCCUGAAAUCUAGUGGCGAGCUCGCCAGGACCCCGAGCGCAGUAUUUAUAACCCUCGCUUUGGAAGGCCCUGGCGGUGCCCUGCCGUUAAACCCCCAACUUUUGAAAAUUUGACCUCGGAUCAGGUAGGAAUACCCGCUGAACUUAAGCAUAUCAAUAAGCGGAGGAA